CUCAUCCCCGGCCCGACGUACGAGACGAACGCGGAGGCGCGCAUGAUCCGCAUGCUCGGCGGCGACGUGUGCGGCAUGAGCAUGUGCCACGAGGUGAUCGUCGCCCGGCACUGCGAGAUGCGCGUGCUCGGCCUCGCGCUCAUCACGAACAUGAUCGUGCUCGAGUACAACGACCCGCGCGCCGUCACGCACGACGAGGUGCUGCGCACGAGCCGCGCGCGCGUCGGUGAGAUGCGCAAGCUGCUCACGGGCAUCAUCAAAAACAUCGAAGUGUGAGCGCGCGCGGAGGCGAGGCGUCGACGCGGGGGGGACGGAUCGCGGCGGGGUCGGGCGACACGUUUUCUGAUUGUUGUGGGGUCAGUCAAAAUCUCAUGGCAACGUGUGGUCUGAUUGUCACAGCAUCAGGUGAAGUGUGGUCUGAUUGUCACAACAUCAGGUGAUGUGUUGUCUGAUUGUCACAGCAUCAGGUGACAUGUGGUCUGAUUGUCACAACAUCAGGUGAAGUGUUGUCUGAUUGUCACAACAUCAGGUGAAGUGUUGUCUGAUUUUCACAACAUUAGGUGACGUGUUGUCCGAUUGUCACAACAUCAGAUGAAGUGUGGUCUGAUUGUCACAGCAUCAGGUGACGUGGUCAGAUUGUCACAACAUCGGGUGAAGUGUGGUCUGAUUGUCACAGCAUCUGGUGACGUGGUCUGAUUGUCACAGCAUCAGGUGAUGUGGUCUGAUUGUCACAGCAUCAGGUGAUGUGGUCUGAUUGUCACAGCAUCAGGUGAUGUGGUCUGAUUGUCACAGCAUCAGGUGAUGUGUUGUCUGAUUGUCACAACAUCAGGUGAUGUGUAGUCUGAUUGUCACAGCAUCAGGUGACACGUGGUUUGAUUGUCGCAACAUCAAGUGAUGUGUGGUCUGAUUGUCACAACAUCAGGUGAAGUGUUGUCUGAUUGUCACAGCAUCAGGUGAAGUGUGGUCUGAUUGUCACAACAUCAGGUGAAGUGUGGUCUGAUUGUCACAGCAUCAGGUGAAGUGUUUUCUGAUUGUCACAGCAUCAGGUGAAGUGUUGUCUGAUUGUCACAGCAUCAGGUGAAGUGUGGUCUGAUUGUCACAACAUCAGGUGAAGUGUGGUCUGAUUGUCACAGUAUCAGGUGAUGUAUUGACUGAUUGUCAACAGCACCAGUUGAAGCAGUUCUAUAAUCAGGCUGCACGUCAUCUGAUCGUUUCGGCAUCAGGCGAAGUGUUACCUCGGCGUGCCAUUGUCUUAGCGCAGGGCUUUGUUGUUAAGAGUGUUGGUGUGUGAGGAGGGGCACCUGCAUCAUCUGAGUGUGGUGUGUCGUUAGGUGCGAUUACGUCUCAGCACAUGACAUCGUUAGGUGUGCGGUGACGUCAUUGCAAUGGCUUCAUGUCAUUCCAAAGAUGAUCUGGCCCCAGAUUUUUCAGCAUUAACACAUGUAUACUUUACGCCGUUAUUGUGCUACGUAUACGUAAAUGCACUAAUACGUGCGCGCAUACUUGCGCGCAUAUACUUUAGUAUACAUGUGUUCAUGGUUUCGCUGUUAGGGGAGAAGACUGUGUAAAGCUUUCAAAGGUGUUACCAGGAGAUGUUACGGUACUAACGUUUCUGCGUGCUUGCAUUUAUCGGUCGUUGUCAUCAGUGUUUUGGGAUUCUAGGUCGGUAGAGCUGGCAGAUAUCAUUGGCAUGAGUUAUUCUGAUGUUAAUCCGUGUAUCUAUAUAUCUAGAUAUAUUCAUCUGUAUAUCUAUCUAUCUAGCUAUCUAUCUAUAUAUAAUUGCAACCAACCUAUUUGUUUAGUGGUCUAUUGAUCUAUCUAUUUAUCGACUAGCCUAUAUUAUUUAACUGUCUAUUAAUCUAUCUAUCUGUGUAUAUAUGUAGCUAUUUGUCUGCCCACCGGCUUGCCUGCCUGCCUUUAUGUCUACCUAUCUGUCUAUCAUCUAUUGAAUGAUAACAUUUCUUACUGUGAUUUUGGUGGGAAACGGCGAGCGAGAUUCUUCCAUUAUUCAACGUCAACUCGGCUGUAGCUGGUAAUAAUGAUCUCUUCUGUUUUUUUAAUCAUUCCAUUGAUAUUUCGUUAUAAGACUUGCUUGUUUAUUUCAUUCGUGUACCUAUUCAUCUACUAGGGUUUGCAAAUAAGGGCUUGCUACCUGCUCUCAACGUUGGCAGCAAGUAUUUGCUGCCAAGAAAUUCCUAAUAAACCAUAGUCAAUGCACCAAAGAUUCUACCUGGAUGAGAAAAUUUGCUGCCUGCUCUUUUCUCUGGCAGCAAGUAUUUGCGACCUCCCCAUGAAUCAAUUUCUAACCCUGCUUCACACUCACCCUAUUACACGUACAAUUACAUCACGUAGCGGCUGUGUAAGGAAAUCGAGGAUACGUACACGGUCUGCGACGCGUGGAUGAAAUGUCGUUAGUUGGCAUUGGCUUCGUCCUGUCGUCUAUCGGGUGUGCCAGGUACGAAUGUGUUCGAGUCGUGCAUCCGUAGCAGUGCAGUCUCACGCACACUGUCCUAAAUACGUUGGCGUUUGUACGCUGUUGUCUACAGUCGUUGUUUCCGUUUCUGCGCAGCGCACAAAUACUCGUUGCAAUACUGUAAGCUGUACUACUACUACUUACUACUGUAAGCCCCCCCCCACCCAAAGACCUGCUGUUGAGGAAGGGCGGUAUAAAGUUUUGGUGAGGUAUCGCUCGUGCGUGCGGCGAAUGUCUUGUGUGUCCACAGGAAGGUAUACUUGUCACCCAAGCAUCCGUAGAGACAAACCGAGUGUGUACAGCCCGCCGUAUAUAUAUAUAUAUAUAUAUAUAUACAAGCGCGUUGUAUGCUGAUUUUUGCAAGCUGAAUAACGUAGACCUUGCGUCUGUGCAUGCUUGUGCGCGUGUGCGCGUGUAUAUCAUUUUAUGUGUGUGUGGAUUGCAGGCUUAUAUCGUUUUUCUUCAGAACGUUUCGGAAAAUGUAAUAGCGUGGGUAAGCGUUGAAGAACGAGUAGAUGUUGGUGAACUGGGGAAGUGAUUUCGUAGUUUUCCUGUGCAGUAUGUCACUGCCGCACGUAUAGGUGCACGAUGUUAGUAUGCAUGUUGUUGUUGGACUGAUGGCGUUUACCCGCGCAAGCUUUUGUGUAGAGUGCACGCCUGGGAAUCGCUGUCAGAACACCCGCUAGUUAAAUGAUUAGUCUUAGUCCUGACUUCCUGUUCGUAAGCCGUUGUCGGAAUAAUCGUUGUGUCUUUAUCGCGAUAUAUUAUAGUAGUGUCGUAAAUAUUA
rnacentral:lncRNA from 1 species